AUUAUUUAGGUGUGAGCCACAGCACCCGGCCCAGACAUUGUUUGAAGCCACCCAUUUCAUGGUUCUUUGCUGCAGUGGUUGUGGAAUAUGAAUGCACUCGUGCUGUUGGUUAGACUUUGCUGACCUUGUGUCUGUUAUUCCCUGGCAGUUCUACAAGGCCUGGAGCAGAUACGAAAAACCUCCCUUCUUUGCCAAAUGGUCCCCAGCUUCCCCAUUCACUGAAGGCCCUGCGGUCAGGAACAGUCAGGACUUUGCACCCAGUUGUUGUGAGUGUUGGCCGACCCUUCCUCUUGUGUGAUUCAUGGACCCUUAGCAUUGCAUCACCUGGGAGCUUUUGGAAUUGAAGACUCUCAGCGCUCACCGGAAGGACCUCCUGGGCCAGAAUCUGCAUUUUAACAAGAUGCCCAGGGCUUCUCAACCAGGGGGUGAUUUUGCCCCCAAGAGAACAUGUGGCCAUGUCUGGAGACAAUUUUGGUUGUUGCAGCUGGAGGAGGUGGUGCUACUGGCAGCUAAUAGGUAGAGGCCACGGAUGCUGCUAAACAUCCUACAAUGCUCCGGACAACUCCCACUAAGACAAAAGAAUGAUCCAGCCCCAAAUGUCAAUAGUGCUGAAAGUGAGAGACCCUGAUUCCAUCUUAGAGAUCAUCCAAGCACACUUGGCCAAAUAGUUUUUGCUACUAUCCCAUGAAGAAAAGGCAGACUCAUGACUGAUGGCAACGUCGAUGGGAAUUUUGUUUACUUCUUCUUUGUGGACUUUGGGAUACGAUGACUUACCAUUUGUGCAAGUUGUGCAUUGCAUACCUCCAGGGGGCGCCACCCACAUAUUUAUGAAAAUGCCACCCCAGGAAUUGCACAGUACAUAGUCUACAUGGCAAUAAACAGUUGCUCUGGUUUUGGGGUUGUCCUGGGUUGCUCUGGAACUGGGAGGAACUUUAUUUCUGGCCAUUAGAGGCCCUGAGCAUGACAUUGAGUAUCCUUUCAAGAAAGGAGAAAUGUUGAACAGAGAGGACCUCAUUUUUAUAACUCUUGACCAUCAUCUAGUUACGCAGCAUCCACUUUUCACCCCUGGGCCAUAUCCAUUUGACGGAUGAAAAAUCAUCAAAUUAUAAUAUCAUGGCUUUUACUUUUGAUAGCUUCUGCCCGGAACAUGGCGGUAACAGCUUCUCAUUUUCAAUUGAUUCAUUGGGGGAGAAAAUAUACACGACUGCCCUAAGACUUUCUAUUACAUACCAUUUGUUUGACGGGAUUUCUUUAGUUUCUGUAGCAUAACUUAUUCUAACUGGUCCUCAAUCACUUUGCAAUAAAACCUGAGAUUGUGAA
rnacentral:lncRNA from 1 species